GCGGAGGGCCGGGUGAUCGCGGGUCGCAAGACACGAGGAAAGUCCGGACUCCCUGAAGCAACGGUGCCGGGUAACGCCCGGCGGGGGCAACCCUAGGGAAAGCGCCACAGAGAAGAGACCGCCCCUGACCUCGGUCAGGGGUAAGGGUGAAACGGUGGGGUAAGAGCCCACCGCGGGACUGGCAACAGGACCGGCAAGGCAAGCCCCACCGGGAGCAAUGCCGAAUAGGGGUCUCGCGCGGGCCUUGGUCCACUGGCAACAGCGGAUACCGCCGCAGGGCAGCUUCGGCCCGAGAGACCCGGGUUGGCAGCUUGAUCCCGCCGGUAACGGCGGGGCGAGAGGAAUGAUCGCCCACGGGGUUUCGGCCCCUGGACAGAAUCCGGCUUACAGGCCCUCCGCGCAU
rnacentral:RNase_P_RNA from 1 species